rnacentral:lncRNA from 1 species
UGGUACACAUCAGUAAGUACAUGUAUCCAACUUGAACCUACUUAAAGCUCAAACCUAGGAACUAUGGACCAUACAAGAUUAUAAAAAAGAUCAAUGAGAAUGCUUACAGCAUAGAUCUGCCCUUCGUACUCACGAGUUCGACUUUACGACGAUGAACGAUGAACCGGAUUUUGAGUCUCCAACGUUGUUCAGGUAAAUAGUAUUUGACAAUAACGUGUCUAGACUUAGCGUCUCCGGUCAAUAAAAUUGCCCAAUUUAUGCAGGCUUCAUCAAUUGCUCACUGUCAAGCGUUCAAGGGGAUUCUAAGAUUUAUUAUAGAAUCGUUGUUUCGUGGAUUGCAUAUACGACCUUCGUACUCUCAGUAAUCUUCAGCCUUCUCUGAUGCUAAUUGGGGCGACGACAAGAGGAAUAGUCGAAGUCAAGGCGCAUAUGUCAUCUUUUUUAGAAGGAACCUGAUAUCAUGAGGUUCACGUAAACAAUUGACAAUGGCUAGACCUGUAAAUGAUAUAUCGAAAUCUGUAUUCGUAUCUGUUUUCGAAUUCGAAUAUGUCUAUUCGAAUUUGGAUUUCAAAUACGGAUUCAGAUAUCAAAAAUAAUAUCUGAAAAUUAUACAGACAAAUUCAGAUAUUUCGUUAAAAUUAAAAUUUGGUUGUCAAUGACGUAGAAACUGAGUAUCGACAAAACAUAAUCAUUUUCUAAAUUCUAAUACAAGUAUGGGUAAAUUGCAG